UAAAAAAGUUUGGUAUUUUGUACGAAGCUCAAAAGACAUCCGGUAGAAUUGAUCCUGCGAAAAGUGAAAAAUUGUUCAAUGAUCUUGGUAUAACCGUAAACAACGAAUUGAAACUGCUAUUUAAAUCGGAUGGACGCGUUGGAAUAUUGUUGAUGGAUUUAAUCAUGGCUGCGGCAGAACGCAAUAAGAUUUUAAUGGAGAAUGAUUUAAGAGUGAUAAGUCCAAGCGAGGUCAUGUAUGCCAGAAACGACUUCAAUGAGUUUGACGAUAGUAAAGACGGUGAACUGUCUCCUAAGGAGUAUGCCGACAACAAGGCAUACUUAAACCCUAUUUCAAAAUCAAUGGAACAGUCGGCAAAACCUAUUAUUAAAAACGUAAACUUUGCGGAAUUCUUGGAAAUGCUAUAGUUUGUUGACGAACAUGAUAGCGUAGAAGACUCUAUGACAUCAAGUU